GUUGGUUAGAGCACAUCACUCAUAAUGAUGGGGUCGCAAGUUCGAAUCUCGCCGUAGCC
rnacentral:tRNA from 1 species